ensembl:lncRNA
UGGCACGAAGACACAUUGAAGCAUUUCAGUUUGACCCAGAAUCCGAUCCAGAUGGAGAAGCAACGGAUGAAGAAGUUGCAACUCAGCGCCUCCAGAAGGAUGUUUCCGAAUGGUCUCUCUUUUGCCGCCAAAACAGCCCUGAUCCUUCGAGGCAUGGACUCCACUAGACCCCUGAACGUGUGAUGUGGUAUCUGACACCAAGACGUUAGCAGCAGAUACUUAAAGUCAUGGCACAUUAUCUUGCUGAAAGAGGUCAAUGCCAUCAGGGAAUACCGUUGCCAAGAAAGAGUGCACAUGGUCUGCAACAAUGCUCAGGUAGGUGGUAUGUGUCAAAGUAAUAUCCACAUGAAUGGCAGGACCCAAGUUUUCCCAGCACAACAUUUCCCAAGGCAUCACACUGCCUCCGCCAACUUGCAUUCAUCCCAUAAUGCAUCCUGGUGACAUGUGUUCUCCAGGUAAGCGCUACAUCCAUGUAAUGUAAAAGAUGACGUGAUUCACCAGACAAGGCCACUUUCUUCCAUUGCUCCAUGGUCCGUUCUGAUGCUCACGUGCCCAUGGUAGGUGCUUUCAGCAGUGGUCACAGGGGUCAGCAUGGGCACCCUGACUGACACCUUUCUAUCAGUACCAGCAUUAACUUUUUCUGCAAUUUGAGAUACAGUAGCUCGUCUGUUGGAUCGGACCACACAGGCCAGCGCUUUUCCUUCCUUGGACCACUUUUGAUAGGUACUGACCACUGCAGACUGGGAACACACAACAUGGGCUGCAGUUUUGGUGAUGCUCUGACCCAGUCAUCUUGCAGACAGAAAAUGUACUUGCUGCCUAAUAUAUCCCACCCACUGACAGGUGCCAUGAUAAUGAGAUUAUCAGUGUUAUUCACUUCACCUGUCAGUGGUCAUCAUGUUAUGGCUGAUCGGUGUAUAUGUAGGUGAUAUUGGG